AAUUACCUUUAGCGACAAUGUAACUCUCACUAAUACUUUCAAUAACGAAAAGCUAUUUUAUACAAAUUCAUUGCUCAUAAUUUUUAGUGACUGAAAUCUAUCCAAGAAAGCAAACCAUGCAAAAGAUAAUAGUCAAGUAGUAGUAACGGUAGAAUGAUAACAAAAAAUUUUACUGAAUACAAUGAGUUAAGCUGAACAAAACUGAUAACCCAUACCUUGGGGUCGGUCUUCCAUCUGA
rnacentral:misc_RNA from 1 species